rnacentral:rRNA from 1 species
UACGUAGGAUGCAAGCGUUGUCCGGAUUUACUGGGCGUAAAGCGCGCGCAGGCGGCACUCUAAGUACGCUGUGAAAUAUCCCGGCUCAACCGGGAGGGUGCAGUGUAGACUAGGGAGCUAGAGGUCGGUAGAGGGGGGUGGAAUUGCUGGUGUAGCGGUGAAAUGCGUAGAGAUCAGCAGGAACACCCGUGGCGAAGGCGGCCCCCUGGGCCGUACCUGACGCUGAGGCGCGAAAGCUAGGGGAGCGAACGGG